rnacentral:rRNA from 2 species
GUGUGUAACAACUCACCUGCCGAACGCAUCGGCCCUGAAAAUGGAUGGCGCUCAAGCGCGUGGCCGAUACGCCGCCACCGGGACGAAGCUUCUGUCCUGGUGAGUAGGAGGGCGUCGGGCUCGUGUAGAAGCCUCGUGCGUGAGCUCAGGUGGAACGGGCUCGAGUGCAGAUCUUGGUGGGAGUAGCAUGAAUUCAAGCGAGAACCUUGAGGACUGGAGUGGAGAAGGGUUCCAUGCGAACAGCGUUUGGACAUGGGUGAGUCGAUCCUAAGAGAUGGGGUAAUUCCGUGAGAGGGCGUGUAGAACGUUGUCCAUCGAAAGGGAAACGGGUUAAUAUUCCCGUACCGGGAAGCGGAGUAUUCGCGGUAACGCAUCAAAACUCGGGGACCCCGACAAGAGUCCUGGGGAGAGUUCUCUUUUCUAUUUAACAGCUCCAACGACCAUGGAAUCGGAUCAUCCGGAGAAGUGGCGUUGUGCCUGGAAGAGCGGCACCUUCGUGCGCCGCCUGGAGUGCCCUUGUCGGGCCGUGAAAACCCGGGGGACAGUAUUGCUCUCGCACCUGGUCGUACCCAGAACCGCAUCAGGUCUCCAAGGUGA